AAUGCAUGGCACCCUUUAAGAGUUAUGUACAAAGUAAGUGACGCCCCACCGCCCCUGCAUGACAUGUACAAAAUCAGUGACCACCCCAUACAUUUUAAGCAUAUUAUUAAAAUUAUUAUUCAUAUUAACAUGCACAAUGUGUACAAAAUUUAUGUAGACAAAAUUGAUGACCCCUACCUCCCAAGAACAAAAUGCGUGACCCCCCUUAAAGUCACAAUCAUCACCCACCCCCAUCCCCCACUCACCCCGCAAUAAAUUAUGAACGGUCCUUAAUCACAUCUUGCUCCUUUAUUGAGAUCAUAUUGAUACAGCCAAUUUUUGAGCUUUUCACGGACCUAUGUGAGCUCAAGGUUCGUUUAGAUUAUUUAUGAAAACAGUCCUGUUUGUUUUGUAUCAUAUUUUACACUACUGCGCUGACUAUAUGUACAAUCUGGAUGUUCAAUCCUCAGGACAGACGCGCUCAUACCGCAAUGUCUAAAGGCAGAUAAGCCAGUAAACAUUUAUUUGGAAACAUGCUACUGGUUGACAACCCACUGAAGAGAAACGGAAAGAAAAUUAUUGUUUUGAUCGCAUAUUACUGUAAUUUCAUAUUUUGUCUUGUACCCUACGUUUCUGUUUUCCUUCUGGUGAGAACUAGCCUUUGCACGUGUUCAUGACGGUGGCCACAGGUGGGGCUGAAUAGGCUGAUAUCAUAACUAUCUGAUAGUGAUUCAUAAACACGACUGUUGUCGUAUCUCAUGAUAGCAAGCAAUGAAGUGUAGGGUCCGCCGUCAUACCGAGCAGUUGGUGAGCAUGACGUUAACAGACGAACAAACACAUGCUCAUAAUAUCUGCUGUUAGCAGACGUGUCUUAUGGUUGUGGAUAUAGUUUUGUGGUCAGUAUUUUAUACCAGUCAGCACUCGUGCUCUGAAUCAAUGCAGUAUUUAUAUUUACUCUUUAACAUUUCUUAACAUUC